ensembl:lncRNA
CCAAUAGUUAUCAAGGUCACUACUAUUGCCACCCGUAUGUAGCAACAGCACAUUGGCAGUUUUAUCAUGACGUCAUUUGUACUUGACGAGUUUGGAAGAUGACGGACGACGCGGGUUUCUUAAUGGUAUAACCUGGGGGGAAAUGCUUUUUUUUUUGUUAGCGAGGAACAAAUUCAAACCCCGGAUGUUAAUUCCGAAAUUGUACACAUGACUUCAACGAGAAAAUAUUUCACUUUGCUCCCCUGCUCACGCUGGAUGUGCAUGUAUACCGCCCUAUCCAACAGCUAACUGCGCGCGCCAGACUGAGGUUACUCAAGCUACCUCUGAGUGGGCCAAGCGCUGGCCAUUAGAGGUUCUGAGGAUUUUCAAAGGACUUUUCUUUUGGAGGGCAGAGUUUGGAGAAGGGCGGGGGGCUGGCGUUGUGCUGGACGCGUGUCAAACGGUCAAUCUAAAUCCAUGGAAACUAACAUGGAAACUAUCAAGCAAUUUACAGCCGUGCCAACCGGCCCUAUUGGAUUCCUUUAUCCCACCCCGCC